rnacentral:rRNA from 1 species
AAGGCCCAUCGAACUCGGCAACAGCUGGUUCCAGCCGACACAUAUCGAAGUAUGCCCUCAGCCGAGGUAGUCUGCGAGGUAGAGCUACCGAUUGGAUAGUCCGCCUCCGAGAGGAGUCGGCUAUGCUGUCAAACUCCAAACUUGCAGACGCCGCAGACGCUGGGAAUCCGGAUUGCGGGGUAAGCCUGUGAUCCGUGAGGGAGACAACCCAGAGCAAGGUUAAGGUCCCCAAGUGUGGAUUAAGUGCAACUGAAGGUUGUCUCGAGCCCUAAACAGCCGGGAGGUGAGCUUAGAAGCAGCUACCCUCUAAGAAAAGCGUAACAGCUUACCGGCCGAGGUUCGAGGCGCCCAAAAUGAUCGGGGCUCAAAUCCACCACCGAGACCCUGCAAUACUAUUCAACGAGUAACUUCGUAGGCUUGGCGUACUGACCGGACGGAAGUACGGGCGAAAGCUCGUAUGGACCGCUCAGUAACGAUAAUCCUGGUCACAGUAGCAGCAAUAGUCGGGUGUGACCCCCGACGGCCUAACGAGCAAGGGUUCCUCGGCACUGCUAAUCAGCCGAGGGUUAGCCGGUCCUAAGUCUGACCGUAAUUCGACUCAGACAAACAGGGAAACUGGUUAAUAUUCCAGUGCCAUCGUGUACUCUCGAACGCUUUCGGAAACAGUGAGCGGGGCCAUCGCCCCGUCGAAUCAUGGAAUCUCGUGGAUGCCGUAACGGCACGAAGCGAGAGAAUCAUGAGACCGCGCAAGUCACUGGUACCAAGAGCCCGUGAAACAACACACGACGUCCGUACCGAGAUCCGACACAGGUGCUCAGGCAGCGAAAGCCAUGGCCCGUCGGGAUCAACCGGCGUUAGGGAAUUCGGCAAGUUAGUCCCGUACCUUCGGAAGAAGGGAUGCCUGCUCCUGACCGAGCAGGUCGCAGUGACUCGGGCGCUCCGACUGUCUAGUAACAACAUAGGUGACCGCAAAUCCGCAAGGACUCGUACGGUCACUGAAUCCUGCCCAGUGCAGGUAUCUGAACACCUCGUACAAGAGGACGAAGGACCUGUUAACGGCGGGGGUAACUAUGACCCUCUUAAGGUAGCGUAGUACCUUGCCGCUUCAGUAGCGGCUUGCAUGAAUGGAUCAACGAGAGCGCCACUGUCCCAACGCUGGACCCGGUGAACUGUACGUUCCAGUGCGGAGUCUGGAGACCCCCAAGGGGAAGCGAAGACCCUAUAGAGCUUUACUGCAGGCUGUCGCUGAGACAUGGUCGCUGAUGUGCAGCAUAGGUAGGAGCCAUCACACAGGUAUCCGCGCCAGCGGAUCACCGAGGCAAUCAGUGAAAUACUACCCGUCAGUGACUGUGACUCUCACUCCGGGAGGAAAACACCGGUAGCCGGGCAGUUUGACUGGGGCGGUACGCGCUCGAAAAGAUAUCGAGCGCGCCCAAAGGUCUCCUCACGUGAGUCGGAAACUCACAGACGAGCGCAAGAGCACACGGAGGCCUGACAGUGAUCUUCCCAACGAGGAUCGCUGACGCGAAAGCGUGGUCUAGCGAACCAACGAGGUUCAGAGAUGGGACCCGUUGAUGACAGAAAAGCUACCUUAGGGAUAACAGAGUCGUCACUCGCAAGAGCACAUAUCGACCGAGUGGCUUGCUACCUCGAUGUCGGUUCCCUCCAUCCUGCCUGUGCAGACGCAGGCAAGGGUGAGGUUGUUCGCCUAUUAAAGGAGGUCGUGAGCUGGGUUUAGACCGUCGUGAGACAGGUCGGCUGCUAUCUAUUGGGGGUGUAAGGUACUUGCGAGGAACGCUCGUAUAGUACGAGAGGAACUACGAGUGGGUGCCACUGGUGUAUCGGUUGUCCGACAGGGCAGUCGCCGAGCAGCCACGCACCACAGGGUAAGAGCUGAAUGCAUCUAAGCUCGAAACCUCCCUCAAAAAGAAGUACCAGAGAGGAUCCUUCUAAAAGAGAAGGUAGAUAGACUCGGGGUGUACGCAUCGAGGCAACGAGAUGUUGAGCCCGCGAGCACUAACAAUCC